UACGGAGGGUGCGAGCGUUAUCCGGGAUUACUGGGUUUAAAGGGUGCGUAGGCGGAUUAAUAAGUCUGGGGUGAAAGUCUGUCGCUUAACGAUAGAAUUGCCAUGGAUACUGUUGAUCUUGAAUAGAGUUGAGGAUAGCGGAAUGUGACAUGUAGCGGUGAAAUGCAUAGAUAUGUCAUAGAACACCAAUUGCGAAGGCAGCUAUCUGGGCUUUUAUUGACGCUGAGGCACGAAAGCGUGGGGAGCGAACAGG
rnacentral:rRNA from 1 species